rfam:Schistosoma margrebowiei strain Zambia genome assembly, scaffold: SMRZ_contig0006866
AUCCAGCUGACGAGUCACAAAUAUAACGAAUCAUGUGUCUUGGAU